GUUUCUCUCUUUCUUAUUCUUGAGUUGCUCCUUCUCUGUCUCUAUGGGCAGCGCAAUAGAAGAAUUUCAAGAAAACUUCAAGGCUUUAGCGCGUCUUACAAACGAGGAGGUGGGUCAUUAUCUUUUCCUCUUCUUUUUUUUUUUUUUUUUUUUUUACAGUUCUUUUGAUGGAAGUGUCAAAUCGAGAAUGGGCUAGCUGCGUCUCUAGUUUGUUUCUCCCGUGUUUUGUUUGUUAAACUUAAAAUGUUGAAGGCACUGAGUGUCAGCCUCUCCUCUGAAGCUGGUGCUGCAAUUGUUUCCCCAAAGGAAGUUCAGAAAUAGAAAACCUGAUGAAGACGAUAUGUAGGUAGAGAUGCUUAACAAUGUGGCAGUUACUUAGAAAUACCUUCUAACACCUUCUCAAUCUCUCUCUCUCUCUCUCUUUUUUAAUUUUAGCUCUACCUUCCAGUACCUGGACAGAGAUUUCAGUGCAACUGUGUUCGCUUUCACCUGGAAGAAACCAUAAAACAGCUGAAUAGAACAGACUUCUUGAAGAGUGACCGAAUGAAAAGAUGCGUUUUUCUGAUGAAGCAAAACACAGACCACAUCAUAGCAACUUUCCAUAAAACACACACAGCACCUGAGGAAAGUCCUUUAUGCCGAGUGAAAGAGAAACCUCUGCAGAGUGCCCCAGCGUGCUACGAAAAGUUUUUUCAAUGGCUGCAUGAGGAGUGCCAGAAAACGGGCUGAUGGAAGCUAGCAACCCAGCUAGUUGAACAUGUGUUUUAUACAACACUAUAGCUAGUUCUGACAGAACGCUCUAAGGCUGCCACAGAGCACCCCAAAGAGACAAUACAACACGAGCAUGAAUGUUUUACAUAUGUAUUAUCAGAUAUUUAUAACUGUAUUUCUUACUGCAGCUAUCAAUGUAUUUAUUUAAUUUAUAGAGAACUUUUAAUUUG